AUCAAGCUGACGAGUCCUAAAUAGGACGAAACGCGCAUCCUGGAU
rnacentral:hammerhead_ribozyme from 1 species